rnacentral:tRNA from 1 species
GCCUGGCUGGCUCAGUUGGUGGAGCGUAUGACUCUUGAUCUUGGGGUUAUGAGUUUGAGCUUCAUGCUAGGGG